rnacentral:misc_RNA from 1 species
ACGUUACUACGGGUCUCCGCCCCCUCGUGCUUUCAUCUCUCCACGCGUGUGUUGUCUAAAGUUGUGCCAAGUUUCUUUCGUGUUGUGUUUGUUACUCAAAUAGCCCUCCACUGCAUUCACUUCUGAAGUAUGCUGUGAAUCCCGGCAGUGCCGUGGGUGCGUCCGUCAACGCUUACUGAACCCACGAAAUCUCCUAUCUUUCUUUCCACGGUAGAGUCGUAUCAGUCUCGCCUAAUCACCGUUCCGGAGCAAUCUUGCUCUACGUAGCGUACACCGCUGUCGUCGGUGGUCCGUUGCGGGUACAAGAUUUGCUCUAAGAAGUCGGCGGAGCGCUUCGCGACAGCUGAUCACUUUAGUGCACGAAACGAAGUUUCAAUCCAGCGUACGGACUCCGUGUGAGCAUCCGUCCGUACAGAUAACAGCUGUUGCGACAGCCGCUCUUCGGGCUCUGGUGGCGUUCUGUGGCACCUUGACAUUGUUUUCUUCUACAUCGCCGUGCAGCGCAUGAACGGUGUAACGUUCAUAGUCGCCGCUUUGACAGCGGUGAUAGCUGCGUGUGAACCAUCUGGACUGCUGCAUCAUCGGCCUGACCGGCGCUGAUUGGUGGGUGUGCCCGGUCAGGUGCGUUUGACAAGGCUCCGACGAUGUCUCUGUGGAACAGUCCCGGCGGGGGCCGCACCGCCCAAAACUACGGGAGCACGCAGCAAGGAUUCGGUGGCAUGGACAGCCCGUCACGAGUUUCAUCCGACACUCCACAACGCUAUCACCAGCUGUGCGACAACAUCAGCUCCUCAAUAUUUUCCAUCAACAAUGACACGGCAACGCUUGAACGGGCAUCGAGGCAGCUGGGUACACAGGCAGACACUGACGCCUUCAGGGAGAAGCUUCACAUGACACAGCAGAACGCCAACCUGACUAUCAAGAGCACCACGACUGCACUCCAAGAAUUGGGAACACUGGUGGCCCAAGGAGACAAGCAACAAAAACUUCAAUCAAGCCGGCUUCGCAAUGAAUUCCAGGAAGUUGUCAAGCGUUACAGCAGUCUGCAGAAGACCGUGGCUACCCGGCAGAAGUACACGAUGUACGCACGACCAAGUGCUGCAGCUAAGCCCUCUGGUCGUGGAGGCACACAAACUGGUGGCUGGUUGGACAGCCAGCCAGCAACUUCAGAUGAAACGGCAGCCUUAUUGGAUGAUCCGGGUAGUCCCCAGUCACCGACACAGCAGCAGCAGCAACAACAACACUUGAGACAAGACAUGGACUACGAACAGGCACUGCUGGUGGAGCGGGAGCAACGCAUUCGGCGGAUCGAAUCGGACAUGCUGGACUGCAACCAGAUCUUCAAGGACUUAGCCAACAUAGUGCAUGAACAAGGAGAUGUCAUAGACACCAUUGAGGGCAACAUUGAGAGCACCCAGCAUAACACUGGGCAAGCUGUGGAGCAACUGCGUAGCGCAGCCAACUAUCAGAGGAAGUACAGGCGGAAGACAUGCUGCCUGCUUGUCCUGGUGGUUGUGGGGGCUGCCGUGUUAGCCCUGGUCAUCUAUUUCUCCAUCAAGUAGUCCCACCAACCAAGCCCGGCCUUUGCUAGUCCUCACACUGUGCAACGUGACGAGGCCGUUUUUCAAACAUAUCCUGCAGUAAUAUGAGUGAAACUUACCCAGCAGACACCUUCUUGGCGCAGACCACGAGGUCUAUUGAGUUUCACUCGUGGUGUCUCUUGUUCAGGGAAGAUGGAAGCUGGACGAGCUUUUGUUGUGUGGCCCGUCUACCUGUCUGGAGUCUUUGCGAGCAUCUCAAGCUGUCUCUUCCUUUAAUAGUCCAGUUCACUGAUGUAGCAGCUUUUGUUUUUCAUCGACAGCAGGAAACCUUAAGAUCAUAGCCAAGAAAGAGUUUUUUGUUUAUUCAGUUUGGGGAUGAGCUAGUUCCAACAUUUGGCUGUGAUGAAACAAAAUUCACGCUUUCAGCACUUCUAACAAUUGGAGACCUCGCGAAGGAAAGUUAACGUGGAUCAUAGCAUGCGCUAUCUUUAUGAAGAAAGCACGCUUAUGUCGGGUAGCCCCAGGUAAGCCUAUGAAGAAAGGUUCUCUGAGCAGUGUUUUACUGUAGCUACACCUGCUUUCGAUGACAAGCGCAGUGUUGAGCCACCAAUGCGUUGGUCAUUUGGGUGCCGAAUUUCUUCGUUUAGGAUGGAUGUCUCACUUGGUUCUGAUUUUUCGGGACCAACGUUUUGUUACGCAGCUCAGGGACACUUCUCUGCAUAAGUUACUGUUACCUCUGCAAAAGUCUGCACGCCUUUCCAGUAGCGUGUCACUCUGACAUCAAACCUAACCAGAAGCUUGGUCUGAUUGUUCCAAUAAUAUUAUUUAUAUAGGCUUCUUUUGUUUGGAUGUGAGUGGCCACUAUUUUCAACAACCAAGUGAUGCUUAGUGGGAGAAUACGUUGCAAGCUGGACACUACACGAUAGUGCCAUAUCAAACGAAACGCUCAAGACUGGUCAUCAUUACUCCAGAGCUGUUACCCCAAAAAUGCCUUAUUUGGUUCAACAAAAGCUGACUGAAAACAGAAAAUAUGGUGGCUUGCUGUUCGCUUGUUCUUUACUUUUGCUGUGCAUGGUAGUUGCAGGUAAGGCAAAUGGGCCACAAGGAACAUUAAGGUUGUCCAAGUAAAAAAAAAAAAGAAAGAGGACUGCACGGAUGAAGAAAUUAAUGAAAAAGUAGACAUGACAGAAAAGAAGGCUUGCAAAUACAGACCCAAGACAACACAAAUGCAAUGUAUUGUGUGUUUUCUGAAACUUUGUGUGUGUGUUUGCACACCGUGUAGACUAGUUCCAUUCUUUCUAUCUGAGGAAGUAGACACCAAAAAACAGCUGUUAGACUUUUCUUAUUGUAAGAAUCCAUGAUUUAAUAACUAGGAAUUAGUGAACAAAAAGCUGCAAAAAUACAACUGUAUGAUGCAAAAAAAAAAUAGGGGGUAGGGGAAAAUACACACGAUACUGUAAAUAUGUGCUUCAAAAAUGCAAGACCUUUAUUUUUGCAAAGCCUCAAAGGCUGACUGAUGCACACUUAAUUACUUUGUUGGGCAUUAUUGUACUUACCAUAAUUGCCACAAUUGCAAUACUGCAGGAUUUAUGGGUAGUACGUAAUAGGUGGGAUAGCAUGCAGAAAGCUGUGAAACCCCGCUCCAGUCACGAUGAGAAGCAAAACAAUCAUAGCUGAAGGAAUCGAGCUGUGUGCUAUCUAUGGUUAAGUUGUUAGUAAACGCAUCCGUAUACUUAUGUAGAACUAAUUUUUUACAUGCGCAAAGCAGUGUGGACACAGCACUGAGUGAUCUAUAAAAAAAUUUUUUUUCGAGACUUUGACCUUUCUGUUGACUGGUGCCUGUAUGAUGUAAAUAUAAAAUAAAAGAAGAAUUUACCCUCUAGUUACAUGAAGUUGUGCAAGUAAAAUACGGCUAUUGAUCAGUGUAGUUGGCCCGAGAGGUUUCACUUUGCAAACUUGUACUUAUAAUGCUGAAUGCAACCUCAUUGAUGUGUAAUUCCUUUCCAUUACCUUCUCCCAGAGGCCUGUCGAGUGUUUGCUGCAGCUUAAUAUUGUCUCUUGUGUUUGUAUCUUUCUUUUUCUUUUCAUGCAUAGAACCUAAGCCUUUGUUCCAAAGUCCUUGUUGCAUAUGUCUCACAAUAGUUACACAAAGACUGAUAUGUGAGCUACCAUCCUUCUUUCUUUUUAAUUAACAAUAUACUACUGGUGCAUGUUGUUCAGUAUAGGUUGUGUGCUGUAUAAUAAAGAGACUUGUUAUUUUACAUUUGCCACAACAUGA